rnacentral:rRNA from 1 species
UAGGUGANCCUGCGGAAGGAUCAUUA